rnacentral:rRNA from 1 species
CCUACGGGCGGCAGCAGUGAGGAAUAUUGGUCAAUGGCCGGAAGGCUGAACCAGCCAAGCCGCGUGAAGGACGACGGUGCCAAGCAUUGUAAACUUCUUUUGUCAAGGGACAAAAUCAGGCUCGAGAGCCUGACCGAGGGUACUUGAAGAAAAAGCAUCGGCUAACUCCGUGCCAGCAGCCGCGGUAAUACGGAGGAUGCGAGCGUUAUCCGGAUUUAUUGGGUUUAAGGGGGGCGUAGGCGGACUGUUAAGUCAGCGGUAAAAGCCCGGGGCUCAACCCGGGCGAGCCGUUGAAACUGGCUGUCUUGAGAGGGCGAGAGGUAGGCGGAAUGCGCAGUGUAGCGGUGAAAUGCUUAGAUAUGGCGCAGAACUCCGAUUGCGAAGGCAGCAUACCGGCGGCGAUCUGACGCUGAGGCACGAAAGCGUGGGGAGCGAACAGGAUUAGAUACCCGUGUAGUC